CGGGAAUUUUCCACAAUGGACGAAAGUCUGAUGGAGCAACGCCGCGUGAACGAUGAAGGUCUUCGGAUUGUAAAGUUCUGUUGUCAGAGACGAACAAGUACCGUUCGAAUAGGGCGGUACCUUGACGGUACCUGACGAGAAAGCCACGGCUAACUACGUGCCAGCAGCCGCGGUAAUACGUAGGUGGCAAGCGUUGUCCGGAAUUAUUGGGCGUAAAGCGCGCGCAGGCGGCUAUGUAAGUCUGGUGUAAAAGCCCGGGGCUCAACCCCGGUUCGCAUCGGAAACUGUGUAGCUUGAGUGCAGAAGAGGAAAGCGGUAUUCCACGUGUAGCGGUGAAAUGCGUAGAGAUGUGGAGGAACACCAGUGGCGAAGGCGGCUUUCUGGUCUGUAACUGACGCUGAGGCGCGAAAGCGUGGGGAGCAAAC
rnacentral:rRNA from 1 species